UGACGACUGCCUAACGGGAGCUGCCGCGGUGCCGUCAGCAGCGCGCGCCCCGCCCCCGCGUCUCCAGGGCAACCGUGGCUUUCGAUUGUUACUGUGGGAACCGGAGGUAACAGUCUACAGCCAUGGUCGCCCCGCAGCACGCCCACGCGCCGCACCGCGCUGGGAUCUGCCAGCCCCGGAGGGGGGAGACCAGGAGGAGCAGGAGGAAGCGGGGGCGGCAAGUCAAGAUCGGAUGUAUCUGCCGGGGCGGAGGGAGGACCCCCUCGCUGGGUAGGCAGAAAGCAAGACUAAUCCUUGAACUCAUUUCCUGAUGGAGUCACAGCCUUCCCUCACUCUUCUCCCCACUCGUUCUUCUUCUAUUCCAUGUAGGAUGAUAAGGAUUCCCAAGCCUCAGGAAGCCAGUGUGCUUGUAAAGGUAACCCGGUCAGUAAAGCAUUGUCUGAAUGUA